AAUUUUAAAAAACGAAAAACAUGAGAAAAUCACACGGGAAAAUCCCGCGAUGAAGGACUGCCCGCGCGAGCGCCCGUGCACGCACACACGCACACAGCAAGUACAGGACGUGUGCACAGUGCGCACGUCCCAUCUACACGCACGAUGCAAGGUCAAUCCUUCAGGCGUCUUAUCGCGCGCAGGCGAGCCGUUUGCGGAUCACCUCAUAUGCGGGCAGGCGCCACACACUGUACGCGCACUGUCCACGCAGCAGGCCUGCGCGGAGAGGCCCCUACACGCUUAGGGCCCGUGCACAGGCUACCUCUUGCGCGCACGGUAGGGUAGCCCUGGGCUUAUAGGCUAGCCUUGCAACGCGCCGGGCGGGUUAGGCCACUGCUGCUUCGAGCAACAUGCCACUGCUCCUAGCGCUGCCGCCGAUGAAAGAGGUCUUCCUCCUCUGUCUUUCAUGCCAAACAUCUUUUUCU
rnacentral:lncRNA from 1 species